rnacentral:rRNA from 1 species
ACAAGCGGAGGAACAUGUGGUUUAAUUCGAUGAUACGCGAGGAACCUUACCUGGGCUUAAAUGGGAGUGACAGCUGUCGAAAGAUGGUUUUCUUCGGACACUCUUCAAGGUGCUGCAUGGUUGUCGUCAGCUCGUGCCGUGAGGUGUCGGGUUAAGUCCCAUAACGAGCGCAACCCUUACCGUUAGUUACCAUCAGGUUAAGCUGGGGACUCUAGCGGGACUGCCACCGUAAGGUGAGAGGAAGGUGGGGAUGACGUCAAAUCAGCACGGCCCUUAUGUCCAGGGCUACACACGUGUUACAAUGGCCGGUACAAAGGGCAGCUACUUCGCGAGAAGAUGCUAAUCUCGAAAGCCGGUCUCAGUUCGGAUCGAAGUCUGCAACCCGACUUCGUGAAGCUGGAUUCGCUAGUAAUCGCGCAUCAGCCAUGGCGCGGUGAAUACGUUCCCGGGCCUU